rnacentral:lncRNA from 1 species
UAUAAAAAAAUCCCAUAUUUCAAAUUUAAUAAUUCCCAGGAUCCUAAACACAGCAGGAAAAAAACCAGCUCCAAAGCUUCUACCUAAAUGCACCAAAAAUCGCCUAGAGAACACCAACAACACUACAAUAACACAGAUAAAACACCAGUACAGCAACAGCUUCACCCAAACUCAAUUUAAAUUGGUGCAAUGUUGUCGUCGUCCUCUACAACAUGAACCUUACCCUUAUCAUUGUCUUGCCCAGACAUCCCUGUUGCAGCAAUGGAUUGUGAAGACGCCUCGACUCUUAUAGUCUUUGAUUAAGCUUCUUCUAUUUCUUCGAUAACACCUC